rnacentral:rRNA from 1 species
GGCGAACGCUGGCGGCGUGCUUAACACAUGCAAGUCGAACGGAAAGGCCCUGAGUUUGUGGGGUGCUCGAGUGGCAAACGGGUGAGUAACACGUGAGUAACCUGAUCUAGACUUUGGGGUAACUUCAGGAAGCUGGAGCUACUACCAGAUAGCAGCUGCUGUACGAUGGAGGGCGGUGGAACGUCUAGGCUGUUGUGGUUGGAUUCGCGGGUAAUCAGCUAGUUGGUGGGGUAGUGGUAUACCAACGCAUUGACGGGUAGGCGGCAUGAGAGGGUGGCCGGCCACAUUGGGCCUGAGAGACGGACCAGAGUCCUACGGUGGGCAGCAGUGGGGAAUAUUGCACAGUGGUAGGACGCCUGUGGCAGCAACGCUGCGUUCGUGAUGACGGCCUUCUGGUUGUAAACAGCAUUCGCCUGUGACGAAGCGUGAGUGACGGUAAUGGGUAAAGAAGCACCGGCUAACUACGUG